GAAAUGCGAUACGUAGUGUGAAUUGCAGAAUUCCGUGAAUCAUCGAAUCUUUGAACACAAAUUGUACUUUUCAGUAAUCUGGGAAGUAUGCUUGGUUGAGGGUCAUUAAAAUAACAUUCGUGAAUUUUUUUGCGGAUUUGAGUUUUCCAGUGUUUUUAUAAUAUAAGAAUGUUGGUAACUUUAAAAUUAUUUAUUACUUGGUUCAAGUUGAAGACGUUCUAUAUGUGUGGUUCGCUGACAACUUGUCCAUCAUCAUAUAUUAUGCGCGCACUUGGUUUUACGCUCUGUGCGAGUAUAUAUUUUUUUUUAUGACCUCAGCUCAAGUAAGAAUACCCGCUGAACUUAA
rnacentral:misc_RNA from 1 species